rnacentral:tRNA from 1 species
GCGGAUAUAGAUAAAGGGUGAAAUCACCUGCCUUCCAAGCAGGAAUUGUGGGUUCGAGUCCCAUUGUCCGCU